rnacentral:lncRNA from 1 species
GGGUAGAAGAUGGACACCAAAGGUGGAUGAUGUGAUAGAGACAUGAGAGAGAAGUUAUGCAGGACUUGUGGACCAAGAUGCAGGGCUGGAGAUCUAGCUCUAGAUGUCAUUCAAGCCAGGGUUCCAACAGAAUGUCCCUGGUUGGUGGCAGUUUGAGCUAACGGCGGGGAGGGGGCUUUUGGACUUUGUCUCUAACUAGGAGACACUCUCUCCUUGGAGGUUUGAAACUUGGCUUUUGGACUUUGUCUCUGACUGGGAGACACUCUCUCUCCCUGGAGAUUUGAAGCUGGCUGACUUUUGUGAGGCUGAUUUGGUUUUUGGACUUUGUCUCUGGCUCUGAGCCCUUGAAGUUGACACUGAGAAGAGAAACUUAGCUUUGGGGGGCUGGGUCUCUGUCUCCCUGGCUCUAAGCAGUGGAAGCUGACCAGAGGCGAAGCUUUUGAGUUGGUGGUCUAUAAGAGAGUUGAUCUAGCCAGAAGAAAAGGAGGGAUUUUGAACUUGGUUUCUUUCUGGGUUAAGCUGAGAGACCUGGCUGAUUUGUGAAAAAGAAGAAAGAAGAUUUUGAAAGGGCUGCUGACCUCCAUCUUCCUGACUGUCUUAAGAGUCACACUUGUGACUCCCCAAACCCUCAAUUUUAUCUCAUUUAGAUUAGGGAAAUUCCUCAUCCCUCUUACCUCAGCUUCCCAUCCUGUUAUCCCAAUAAACCCCUUGACUGAGAAAGCAACUGGAGUAUCUUUAUAGUUCACUUGGGAGGGAGGGAAGGAGCCAAAGGCUUCAAGAAGAUCUGGGAGGCAGUGUCCUUCUGUGAGAGAGUAAGUUCCCUGAAAGCAGAGAAGGCUGAUUUUGGAAUCAGAGAAUCUGCUGGAGCCAACUCACACCAGUUCCAAAGUUUGGAUUAUUAAAUUUUCGAUGGCAGAAGGUAAAAAGAAAGAAAGAAAGAAAGAAAGAAAGAAAGAAAGAAAGAAAGAAAGAAAGAAAGAAAGAAAGAAAGAAAGAAAGAAAGAAAGAAAGAAAGAAAGAAAGAAAGAAAGAAAGAAAGAAAGAAAGAAAGAAAGAAAGAAAGAAAGAAAGAAAGAAAGAAAGAAAGAAAGAAAGAAAGAAAGAAAGAAAGAAAGAAAGAAAGAAAGAAAGAAAGAAAGAAAGAAAGAAAGAAAGAAAGAAAGAAAGAAAGAAAGAAAGAAAGGAAUGACGAGUAGGUUGGUUUUAGAAAAUCAUGGAAAGACUUGCAUGGAAUAAUUCAGAGAGGAACCAAGAGAAUGUUGUAUACAAUAAAAAUAAUUGUUUGAAGAGUAUUGUAAAUGAC